GGGCAAACCGAAGAGUUUACUCUUCGGGGUUGUAGGACUGCAAUGUGGACUCAAAGAUUAUAGAAGAAUGAUUUGGGAAGAUCAGCCAAAGAGAGUAAUAGCCUCGUAUUUUAAAUAGUCUUUGUACCUAGCAGUAUCCUGAGUACGGCGGGACACGUGAAAUCCCGUCGGAAUCUGGGAGGACCAUCUCCCAACCCUAAAUACUCCCUAGUGACCGAUAGUGAACCAGUACCGUGAGGGAAAGGUGAAAAGCACCCCGGGAGGGGAGUGAAAUAGAACCUGAAACCGUGUGCCUACAACAAGUUCGAGCCCGUUAAUGGGUGAGAGCGUGCCUUUUGUAGAAUGAACCGGCGAGUUACGUUAUGAUGCGAGGUUAAGUUGAAGAGACGGAGCCGUAGGGAAACCGAGUCUGAAUAGGGCGCCUUAGUAUCAUGACGUAGACCCGAAACCAUGUGACCUACCCAUGAGCAGGUUGAAGGUGCGGUAAGACGCACUGGAGGACCGAACCAGGGCACGUUGAAAAGUGCUUGGAUGACUUGUGGGUAGCGGAGAAAUUCCAAACGAACUUGGAGAUAGCUGGUUCUCUCCGAAAUAGCUUUAGGGCUAGCGUCGACAUUAGAGAUUCUUGGAGGUAGAGCACUGUUUGGGUGAGGGGUCCAUCCCGGAUUACCAAUCUCAGAUAAACUCCGAAUGCCAAUGAAUUAUGGUCGGCAGUCAGACUGCGAGUGCUAAGAUCCGUAGUCGAAAGGGAAACAGCCCAGACCACCAGCUAAGGUCCCAAAAUAAUUGUUAAGUGGAAAAGGAUGUGGGGUUGCACAGACAACUAGGAUGUUAGCUUAGAAGCAGCUAUUCAUUCAAAGAGUGCGUAAUAGCUCACUAGUCGAGUGACCCUGCGCCGAAAAUGUACCGGGGCUAAAACAAUUUACCGAAGCUGUGGAUACCUUUAUAGGUAUGGUAGGAGAGCGUUCUAUGUGUGAUGAAGGUAUACCGUGAGGAGUGCUGGAACGCAUAGAAGUGAGAAUGCCGGUAUGAGUAGCGAAAGACAGGUGAGAAUCCUGUCCACCGUAAGACUAAGGUUUCCAGGGGAAGGCUCGUCCGCCCUGGGUUAGUCGGGACCUAAGGAGAGACCGAAAGGUGUAUCCGAUGGACAACAGGUUGAUAUUCCUGUACUAGAGUAUGUAGUGAUGGAGGGACGCAGUAGGCUAACUAAAGCAGACGAUUGGAAGAGUCUGUCUAAGCAGUGAGGUGUGAAUUGAGUCAAAUGCUUAAUUCUAUAACAUUGAGCUGUGAUGGGGAGCGAAGUUUAGUAGCGAAGUUAGUGACGUCACACUGCCAAGAAAAGCUUCUAGCGUUUAAACAUACUCUACCCGUACCGCAAACCGACACAGGUAGUCGAGGCGAGUAGCCUCAGGUGAGCGAGAGAACUCUCGUUAAGGAACUCGGCAAAAUGACCCCGUAACUUCGGGAGAAGGGGUGCUGACUUUAAGUCAGCCGCAGUGAAUAGGCCCAAGCAACUGUUUAUCAAAAACACAGCUCUCUGCUAAAUCGUAAGAUGAUGUAUAGGGGGUGACGCCUGCCCGGUGCUGGAAGGUUAAGAGGAGUGCUUAGCGUAAGCGAAGGUAUGAAUUGAAGCCCCAGUAAACGGCGGCCGUAACUAUAACGGUCCUAAGGUAGCGAAAUUCCUUGUCGGGUAAGUUCCGACCCGCACGAAAGGCGUAAUGAUUUGGGCACUGUCUCAACGAGAGACUCGGUGAAAUUUUAGUACCUGUGAAGAUGCAGGUUACCCGCGACAGGACGGAAAGACCCCAUGGAGCUUUACUGCAGUUUGAUAUUGAGUGUCUGUACCACAUGUACAGGAUAGGUAGGAGUCUAAGAGAUCGGGACGCCAGUUUCGAAGGAGACGCUGUUGGGAUACUACCCUUGUGUUAUGGCCACUCUAACCCAGAUAGGUGAUCCCUAUCGGAGACAGUGUCUGACGGGCAGUUUGACUGGGGCGGUCGCCUCCUAAAAGGUAACGGAGGCGCCCAAAGGUUCCCUCAGAAUGGUUGGAAAUCAUUCGCAGAGUGUAAAGGUAUAAGGGAGCUUGACUGCGAGAGCUACAACUCGAGCAGGGACGAAAGUCGGGCUUAGUGAUCCGGUGGUUCCGUAUGGAAGGGCCAUCGCUCAACGGAUAAAAGCUACCCUGGGGAUAACAGGCUUAUCUCCCCCAAGAGUUCACAUCGACGGGGAGGUUUGGCACCUCGAUGUCGGCUCGUCGCAUCCUGGGGCUGUAGUCGGUCCCAAGGGUUGGGCUGUUCGCCCAUUAAAGCGGCACGCGAGCUGGGUUCAGAACGUCGUGAGACAGUUCGGUCCCUAUCCGUCGCGGGCGUAGGAAAUUUGAGAGGAUCUGCUCCUAGUACGAGAGGACCAGAGUGGACUUACCGCUGGUGUACCAGUUGUCUUGCCAAAGGCAUCGCUGGGUAGCUAUGUAGGGAAGGGAUAAACGCUGAAAGCAUCUAAGUGUGAAACCCACCUCAAGAUGAGAUUUCCCAUGAUUAUAUAUCAGUAAGAGCCCUGAGAGAUGAUCAGGUAGAUAGGUUAGAAGUGGAAGUGUGGCGACACAUGUAGCGGACUAAUACUAAUAGCUCGAGGACUUAUCCAA
rnacentral:rRNA from 1 species